GUCACACGUAGUCAACAUGCCCAGGGGACGUGGAUAACCUCGGGAAACUGAGGAUAAACCGCGAUAGGUCACUACUUCUGGAAUGGGUAAUGACUCAAACCUAUAUGGCCCCUGGAUUGGACUGCGGCCGAUCAGGCUGUUGGUGAGGUAAUGGCCCACCAAACCUGUAACCGGUACGGGCUCUGAGAGGAGGAGCCCGGAGAUGGGCACUGAGACAAGGGCCCAGGCCCUAUGGGGCGCAGCAGGCGCGAAACCUCUGCAAUAGGCGAAAGCCUGACAGGGUUACUCUGAGUGAUCUCUGUUAAGGAGAUCUUUUGGCACCUCUAAAAAUGGUGCAGAAUAAGGGGUGGGCAAGUCUGGUGUCAGCCGCCGCGGUAAUACCAGCACCCCGAGUGGUCGGGACGUUUAUUGGGCCUAAAGCAUCCGUAGCCGGUUCUACAAGUCUUCCGUUAAAUCCAGCUGCUUAACAGAUGGGCUGCGGAAGAUACUAUGGAGCU
rnacentral:rRNA from 1 species